AAUGAAGUGCCUGAAAAAGGAUUAUUUUGAUAGAAUAAAUCAUGUAUGAAAAAUACCUUCAUUA
rnacentral:tRNA from 1 species